UGGGGAAUAUUGGACAAUGGGCGCAAGCCUGAUCCAGCCAUGCCGCGUGAGUGAUGAAGGCCUUAGGGUUGUAAAGCUCUUUCGACGGGGACGAUAAUGACGGUACCCGUAGAAGAAGCCCCGGCUAACUUCGUGCCAGCAGCCGCGGUAAUACGAAGGGGGCUAGCGUUGCUCGGAAUCACUGGGCGUAAAGGGCGCGUAGGCGGACGUUUAAGUCAGAGGUGAAAGCCCCAGGGCUCAACCCUGGAAUGGCCCUUUUGAUACUGGACGUCUUGAGUCUGGUAGAGGUUGGUGGAACUGCGAGUGUAGAGGUGAAAUUCGUAGAUAUUCGCAAGAACGCCGGUGGCGAAGGCGGCCAACUGGACCAGAACUGACGCUG
rnacentral:rRNA from 1 species